UACGUAGGGUGCAAGCGUUAAUCGGAAUUACUGGGCGUAAAGCGUGCGCAGGCGGUGAGUUAAGUCUGUCGUGAAAGCCCCGGGCUCAACCUGGGAAUGGCGAUGGAUACUGGCUCGCUAGAGUGCGGUAGAGGAGAGUGGAAUUCCCGGUGUAGCAGUGAAAUGCGUAGAGAUCGGGAGGAACAUCAGUUGCGAAGGCGGCUCUCUGGACCAGCACUGACACUGAGGCACGAAAGCGUGGGGAGCAAACAGG
rnacentral:rRNA from 1 species